CUAGCCGUAAACGAUGGAUACUAGGCGUUGUGAGUAUCGACCCUCACAGUGUCGUAGCUAACGCGUUAAGUAUCCCGCCUGGGGAGUACGCGCGCAAGCGUGAAACUCAAAGGAAUUGACGGGGGCCCGCACAAGCGGUGGAGUAUGUGGUUUAAUUCGAUGCAACGCGAAGAACCUUACCAGGACUUGACAUGUCGCGAAUCUCAGGGGAACUUGAGAGUGCCUUCGGGAGCGCGAACACAGGUGGUGC
rnacentral:rRNA from 1 species